UACGUAGGUGGCGAGCGUUGUCCGGAUUUACUGGGCGUAAAGCGCGCGUAGGUGGCUCUUUAAGUCCUGUCGUGAAAGGUUGCGGCCCAACUGCAACAGUGCGCGGGAUACUGGAGAGCUUGAGUCCGGGAGAGGUGAGUGGAACUGCGAGUGUAGAGGUGAAAUUCGUAGAUAUUCGCAAGAACACCAGUGGCGAAGGCGGCUCACUGGCCCGGUACUGACGCUGAGGUGCGAAAGCGUGGGGAGCAAACAGGG
rnacentral:rRNA from 1 species